UCAGGCGGUUCAAGCACCUGGGAGAGCUCACAAGUCAAGAGGAAAAUGGAUGACGAUUCCGAUAUCUUCGAUGAAAUGUGGCUGGAAAGUGUGGUCAUUGCGGGUUUCCGAGUGUGGCACAUUAUCGCUGCCGUUCUGGGCGUCCUCCUCCUAAUAAUGAUAAUGGUAUGCUGCUGCAUUCGAUUCCGUAUUCCGCGCACCAAGCAGGAAAUCGAGGCUGACUACCAACGCAAGCAGAUCACAAAGAAGUUCCGCGAGAAGCUGCAGCAGAUCAAGAACUCCGAAAUGGACGACAUGGACCUGCAGAAGGCACUUGCUUAUAUCAAAUUGGAACAGUACGAUGAUCCCUAGGGGCUCUGUAAAUUCACCCGCACCCUGUACAAACUAUCGGAAGUACUUAAGCAGAAAACUCUCUAUCGCAAAGAACACUGCCACUUUUGUGCCCGCAUCCAGAGCGACUAUCUGAAUUUCCAGGCCAGCAUGGAGAGCAUGAACGCGAAGCAGAAUGUUAAGUUUAAGAUCUAAGUGCCUUUUAUAGGAUGGUG